UUAAUGUAUAACGCCGGUGACUUUUUGUCCAAUGUUUGAUUAUUCGUCUUAUUCAAAAAAUUUAUGUAAUUAUCAUUUAUUUUAUUGUAAUUUGAUUCAUAAUCAAAUGUUCUUUAAGCAUGACAUAAAUAUUUUCAUAUUUACACAAAAAUUUUAAAUAAAACGAAUGGUCAAACGUUGGUCGAAAAGUCAACGACGUCAUACAU
rfam:Oryza sativa Japonica Group DNA, chromosome 7, cultivar: Nipponbare, complete sequence.